CAAGCUGACCCGGGCCCAAUACCCUUCACCCCUUUUUCUUUAUCUUCAAACCAUCGACAAAACACCACGCACAACAGCCAAACUCGAUAAACAGUAACUCACAAACAACAAUAAUUCAACCAUGCCCGACCCGAUUUCGGCCUAGACACCCAGCUGCUCCCUUUCCCCUUCGAUUCGUACGGAUCGCGUGACCCUCCACGCGGAUUCGUACGGUCGAAGGACCUCAAAUCCUCUAGAAAACAGCCUAGGUGUCCUCCCCCAACGUUAAAAUCCGUUAUUUUGGAAUAAAAUUGUACGAAUUAGUACGUGUGAGUUCGAUUUCAAUUGGUUGGGGAAGAAUUUUGUUUUCCCAAAACCCAAAUUCCUUUGAAAAUUCAAAAAAAAUCAAUACAGGAUUAGGGGAAAUCGCGGUUAUCACGUAAUAUCUCACUUGGAAACUUCUGAAAUUGCCCCCGAUUCCAUAUUUUUCUACAUCGUUCAAGGUUGAGAAGGACCCCCCAUUCAUCCGAAAUUUUAGGUUGGGACAAACUGAGAAAGAAAAAUAAAAGGAAAAAAGGGUCUUCGAGAAAAGGAGAACAUACAUUUUUCUUUCAGAAAAAAAUUUCAGAUUUUUCUUUGGGAAUUCCUGAGCUAAUCAAAGUUUCGAAUUGAUGUGAUGAUGUUUUUCCGGUGGUGUUAGAAUCUAAUAGAGUGCAAAGUCUCGUUUCGCUGCCCAAGAACCGGUUAGUGCUAUUCAUCCUUUCUCAUAUUGUUGCGAUGCAAUAGUGGUAGUAUUAGUGAUUUCGAUUAAUAUGUUGUAUGCUGUGGAUGUUUCUUGUUAGAUUAGAGGCUUUGAAAGUCGUAGGCUGUGAUGAUAUUUGAUUUUUUUCGUAAUAGCCUUUUCUCCGCUGUUUUAUUCCUACUCUUAUUUCCACUCGGGCAACGAGGCGUGCUAGCCCGUAUCUGAAUUUUUUUGGGGUAACCCCGGAAUCGAACAUGUAACCAUCUCUAAGGGAAGUUCAUUUUGUCUCGUUUCUAAGUGAAUACAGAUUUUUACCUUCUCUUGAUGUGGUAAGUCUGUGGAAUUCUUUUCACCCGAGAUAACAACAUCCUCUUUUAUGAAACCAUUUUUAGUUUUCAAUGGACGGUUGUUUUCUGGAAAUUGAAUUCCUCAGUUUAUGCGUUAGGCUGCCACCACGUCACUUAUGCCAAAGACUGAGGCUUUAUGGAAUGGUUUUCAUUGUAGAUGACCCUAUUCGUCUCAAUGCUUUCUUUUUCGCUCUAAAUCAGCAAACCUUUUCUGUAUGAGUGUUUUUGUAUAUGAAAAUAAGUGAAUUUAUGUUUAUGUUUCGGUUGUCUUAAGUUGUUCUUGGUGGUUGUGUUCCAAAGCAAUGAACCUGAUAAUGGAAAACAAUUCAGCUGUGCUGGAUUAAGUCUGCCAUUGCAUUCUCUUGAUGAUCUCAUUUAGGAUAGUGUAGAAUUUUACUUGAUUUACUCUUUGCAAAAUGAUGAAUUAUGGGUUCCGGUCUGCUCUCUUUUCCUCGCUGCACCUAUUCUGCACGUAGGAUCCUAUGUGUUGUUGCAGUUUGUAAGAAGUUGUUUUGACUGCCUCGUCGCUUUUUUGCAUGGCAGAACAGACUAUGUUUCUAGUGUGAAUUGUUGUGUUUCAAUUAGGAUGGUUUGAGUUAUUUGAACAUGCCUAUUCCUAUCAUAGAAUUAACUUAUUUGUGAUUGAAGAUCGUGAUAAGUUUACUCCUAAAUAUACCUUUAUGUGAAGUCAAGUUUCUCUCUAAUAGAAGUUCGAUUUUAAUUUGUCAAAAGGGUAAGAUAAAAGACUUUAUUUUCUUGUGUUUUCUUUGAGAUAUCUUGCUUUUCGGAGCAUUUUAGAUUAUUUUCUAUUUUUUCCAACAUUAAUAGCAUCAGUUUCUCUUUUAUCAGGUUCUAAUCCUUACCCUUUUCUUUACAUGUACCACUUGCCUCGAGUCCAAAAAUGGAUUCAAUCUCGCUUUGCGUUUCUUCAUGGGCCAUUGGGGCCCACCAUUUCUAUCAAAUUAACUCCGAGAGUCAAUUGCAUGGCAUAUGGAUACAAGAAGAUGGAAGGAUGCGCCUGAAGUAUGUAUUUAAAUUGUUGUUUUUUGCUGUUUAAGUUUGGUCUUUGAGACAAUAUCAUGUCAUCGAGAUUAUCGGGCAUCAUUGCACACCAACAAAAUUUAUUUGAAAAAGAAAUUACUAAAUGCUGUGGCUGAGGAAUUAAAGCCAAUAGUUCAACAGAAACUUGAGCAGCUAAACAGAAAAAGCACAUAUCAUGUGCAUCAUCAAAAUAAUCUUUUAGGAUUCUCAGGGGAAUUUUCUCUUGCCAAUAAGCAAAGCUUUAAGGCUUGGGGGACAAAUUAGAUAGCAGCACCUGUUCGAGAAUUUGGGUCUCAAGUUCCAACAACCACACAAUUUUUGCUUGUGAAACCAGUAGAUGAGCAUAUCCGCCGUUUGUAAGUCUCUUUAAUAAGGACUACUCUGUAAAGGACAUCAUCAUGGUUGACCAUAUGAGGAAGAUGAAGAACAACGCCAUUGUCUGCAAUGUUGGUCACUUGACAGCGAAAUCGACAUGCAUGGUCUUGAGACCUUUCCUGGUGUGAAGAGGAUCUCAAUCAAACCUCAAACCUACAGAUGGGUCUUCCCAGACACCAACAAUGGCAUCGUUGUCUUGGCCGAGGGUCAUCUCAUGAACUUGGGAUGUGCCACCGGACACCCCAGUUUUGGUGGUGAUGCGGCUAGUAGACCUGUUUCUCCCAUGGAUGCAAGGAAAUCACAUGAUGAUAAUGAUCCUAAUGACAUUCUUUGAUUUCGUUGUAUUUGUGUUGGAUAUUCAAUUAUGAUGAUGUAAUUGUGUGGUUGGAGUGGAUCUUAGAAUAUUGAAGUUUUUGUGUAUAAAUUUGAUUUUAGAGUUUGAAGAUACUAGUUAAUGUUGAAAAUUUGGAGUUUGAAAAUGUUAAUGUUAAAAAUUUAAUUUUGAAGUUUAA